AGUGAACGCUGGCGGUAGGCCUAACACAUGCAAGUCGAACGGCAGCACAGGAGAGCUUGCUCUCUGGGUGGCGAGUGGCGGACGGGUGAGGAAUACAUCGGAAUCUACUUUUUCGUGGGGGAUAACGUAGGGAAACUUACGCUAAUACCGCAUACGACCUACGGGUGAAAGCAGGGGACCUUCGGGCCUUGCGCGAUUGAAUGAGCCGAUGUUGGAUUAGCUAGUUGGCGGGGUAAAGGCCCACCAAGGCGACGAUCCGUAGCUGGUCUGAGAGGAUGAUCAGCCACACUGGAACUGAGACACGGUCCAGACUCCUACGGGAGGCAGCAGUGGGGAAUAUUGGACAAUGGGCGCAAGCCUGAUCCAGCCAUACCGCGUGGGUGAAGAAGGCCUUCGGGUUGUAAAGCCCUUUUGUUGGGAAAGAAAUCCAGCUGGCUAAUACCCGGUUGGGAUGACGGUAUCCAAAGAAUAAGCACCGGCUAACUUCGUGCCAGCAGCCGCGGUAA
rnacentral:rRNA from 1 species